GGGGGUGAACGGUUUCGACUUCGGACGUUGAUCAAGGGGAAGCGUGUCGAGGAAGGCGACGAUGAGCUCGUUAACCACGCGUCGCACAACAAUCAAGCGCCAACCAUAAGGUAAGCGCCGGCGCUCGUUCUGACUUCGCCCUCGCGGCCUGAGUCAGUACUGAGUGCCUGUCGGCCCGGGUAGUCCCCGCCCCGGUGUCCGGCAUCAGCUAGGGGAAUCACCGCUCGAUCCGGCCGCGGGGUCGGGCGGGACAUCCAACAGCGGCUGGGAUCGUCACACCGGCUGGUCCGCGUGACCGGUGGAUCCGAGCAGAGGCACAGCGGACUGCACACGGAGAAGCCCUUGUGAAGCGCCGAAGGACCCGGGUUCGAUUCCCGGCACCUCCACCC
rnacentral:tmRNA from 1 species